rnacentral:rRNA from 1 species
UACAGAGGGUGCGAGCGUUGUUCGGAAUUAUUGGGCGUAAAGGGCGCGUAGGCGGUGCGGUAAGUCACCUGUGAAAUCUCCUGGCUCAACUGGGAGCUUGCAGGCGAAACUGCCGUGCUGGAGUGUGGGAGAGGUGCGUGGAAUUCCUGGUGUAGCGGUGAAAUGCGUAGAUAUCAGGAGGAACACCUGUGGCGAAAGCGGCGCACUGGACCACAACUGACGCUGAGGCGCGAAAGCUAGGGGAGCAAACAGG